rnacentral:rRNA from 1 species
AGUGAACGCUGGCGGUAGGCCUAACACAUGCAAGUCGAACGGCAGCACAGGAGAGCUUGCUCUCUGGGUGGCGAGUGGCGGACGGGUGAGGAAUACAUCGGAAUCUACUUUUUCGUGGGGGAUAACGUAGGGAAACUUACGCUAAUACCGCAUACGACCUACGGGUGAAAGCAGGGGACCUUCGGGCCUUGCGCGAUUGAAUGAGCCGAUGUCGGAUUAGCUAGUUGGCGGGGUAAAGGCCCACCAAGGCGACGAUCCGUAGCUGGUCUGAGACGAUGAUCAGCCACACUGGAACUGAGACACGGUCCAGACUCCUACGGGAGGCAGCAGUGGGGAAUAUUGGACAAUGGGCGCAAGCCUGAUCCAGCCAUACCGCGUGGGUGAAGAAGGCCUUCGGGUUGUAGAGCCCUUUUGUUGGGAAAGAAAUCCAGCUGGCUAAUACCCGGUUGGGAUGACGGUACCCAAAGAAUAAGCACCGGCUAACUUCGUGCCAGCCGCCGCAGUAA